rnacentral:lncRNA from 1 species
GUAUCUGGAAGUGGACAUUUGGAGCGCUCUCAGGACUACGGUGAAAAAGGAAAUAUCUUCCAAUAAAAGCUACAUAGAAGCAAUGUCAGAAACUUUUUCAUGAUGUAUCUACUCAGCUAACAGAGUUGAACCUUUCUUUUGAGAGAGCAGUUUUGAAACACUCUUUUUGUGGAAUCUGCAAGUGGAUAUUUGUCUAGCUUUGAGGAUUUCGUUGGAAACUGGAUUACAUAUAAAAAGCAGACAGCAGCAUUCCCAGUAACUUCCUUGUGAUGUUUGCAUUCAAGUCACAGAGUUGAACAUUCCCUUUCAUAGAGCAGGUUUGAAACACUCUUUUUGUAGUAUCUGGAUGAGGACAUUUGGAGCGCUUUCAGGCCUAUGGUGAAAAAGGAAAUAUCUUCCCCUGAAAACUAGACAGAAGCAUUCUGAGAAUCUUAUUUGUGAUGUUCGCCCUCAACUAACAGUGUUGAAGCUUUCUUUUGAUAGAGCAGUUUUGAAACACUCUUUUUGUAAAAUCUGCAAGAGGAUAUUUGGAUAGCUUUGAGGAUUUCAUUGGAAACGGGAUUGUCUUCAUAUAAACUCUAGACAGAAGCAUUCUCAGAAGCUUCAUUGGGAUGUUUCAAUUGAAGUCACAGUGUUGAACAUUCCCUUUCAUAGAGCAGGUUUGAAACACUCUUUUUGUAGUAUCUGGAUGUGGACAUUUGGAGCGCUUUCAGGCCUAUGGUGAAAAAGGAAAUAUCUUCCCCUGAAAACUAGACAGAAGCAUUCUCAGAAUCUUAUUUGUGAUGUGCGCCCUCAACUAACAGUGUUGAAGCUUUCUUUUGAUAGAGCAGUUUUGAAACACUCUUUUUGUAAAAUCUGCAAGAGGAUAUUUGGAUAGAUUUGAGGAUUUCGUUGGAAACGGGAUUGUCUUCAUAUAAACUCUAGACAGAAGCAUUCUCAGAAGCUUCAUUGGGAUGUUUCAAUUGAAGUCACAGUGUUGAACAGUCCCUUUCAUAGAGCAGGUUUGAAACAAUCUUUUUGUAGUAUCUGGAAGUGGACAUUUGGAGCGCUCUCAGGACUGCGGUGAAAAAGGAAUUAUCUUCCAAUAAAAGGUAGAUAGAAGCAAUGUCAGAAACUUUUUCAUGAUGUAUCUACUCAGCUAACAGAGUUGAACCUUUCUUUUGAGAGAGCAGUUUUGAAACCCUCUUUUUGUGGAAUCUGCAAGUGGAUAUUUGUCUAGCUUUGAGGAUUUCGUUGGAAACGGGAUUACAUAUAAAAAGCAGACAGCAGCAUUCCCAGUAACUUCUUUGUGAUGUUUGCAUUCAAGUCACAGAGUUGAACAUUCCCUUUCAUAGAACAGGUUUGAAACAUUCUUUUUGUAGUAUCUGGAUGUGGACAUUUGGAGCGCUUUCAGGCCUAUGGUGAAAAAGGAAAUAUCUUCCCCUGAAAACUAGACAGAAGCAUUCUCAGAAUCUUAUUUGUGAUGUGCGCCCUCAACUAACAGUGUUGAAGCUUUCUUUUGAUAGAGCAGUUUUGAAACACACUUUUUGUAAAAUCUGCAAGAGGAUAUUUGGAUAGAUUUGAGGAUUUCGUUGGAAACGGGAUUGUCUUCAUAUAAACUCUAGGCAGAAGCAUUCUCAGAAGCUUCAUUGGGAUGUUUAAAUUGAAGUCACAGUGUUGAACAGUCCCUUUCAUAGAGCAGGUUUGAAACACUGUUUUUGUAGUAUCUGGAAGUGGACAUUUUGAGAGUUCUCAGGAAUACGGUGAAAAAGGAAAUAUCUUCCAAUAAAAGCUAGAUAGAAGCAAUGUCAGAAACUUUUUCAUGAUGUAUCUACUCAGCUAACAGAGUUGAACCUUUCUUUUCAGAGAGCAGUUUUGAAACACUCUUUUUGUGGAAUCUGCAAGUGGAUAUUUGUCUAGCUUUGAGGAUUUCGUUGGAAACGGGAUUACUUAUAAAAAGCAGACAGCAGCAUUCCCAGGAACUUCUUUGUGAUGUUUGCAUUCAAGUCACAGAGUUGAACAUUCCCUUUCAUAGAGCAGGUUUGAAACACUCUUUUUGUAGUAUCUGGAUGUGGACAUUUGGAGCGCUUUCAGGCCUAUGGUGAAAAAGGAAAUAUCUUCCCCUGAAAACUAGACAGAAGCAUUCUCAGAAACUUCUUUGUGAUGUGCGCCCUCAACUAACAGUGUAGAAGCUUUCUUUUGAUAGAGCAGUUUUGAAACACUCUUUUUGUGGAAUCUGCAAGUGGAUAUUUGUCUAAGUUUGAGGAUUUCGUUGGAAACGGGAUUACAUAUGAAAAGCAGACAGCAGCAUUCCCAGAAUCUUCUUUGUGAUGUUUGCAUUCAAGUCACAGAGUUGAACAUUCCCUUUCAUAGAGCAGGUUUGAAAAACUCUUUUUGUAGUAUCUGGAUGUGGACAUUUGGA